CUGUAUUAGCUAGUUGGUGAGGUAACGGCUCACCAAGGCAACGAUACAUAGGGGGACUGAGAGGUUAACCCCCCACACUGGUACUGAGACACGGACCAGACUCCUACGGGAGGCAGCAUG
rnacentral:rRNA from 1 species